ACCAGACUCCUACGGGAGGCAGCAGUGGGGAAUAUUGCACAAUGGGCGCAAGCCUGAUGCAGCCAUGCCGCGUGUAUGAAGAAGGCCUUCGGGUUGUAAAGUACUUUCAGCGGGGAGGAAGGCGAUAAGGUUAAUAACCUUGUCGAUUGACGUUACCCGCAGAAGAAGCACCGGCUAACUCCGUGCCAGCAGCCGCGGUAAUACGGAGGGUGCAAGCGUUAAUCGGAAUUACUGGGCGUAAAGCGCACGCAGGCGGUCUGUCAAGUCGGAUGUGAAAUCCCCGGGCUCAACCUGGGAACUGCAUUCGAAGCUGGCAGGCUGGAGUCUUGUAGAGGGGGGUAGAAUUCCAGGUGUAGCGGUGAAAUGCGUAGAGAUCUGGAGGAAUACCGGUGGCGAAGGCGGCCCCCUGGGACGCAACUGACGCUCAUACACGAAAGCGUGGGGAGCAAACAGGAUUAGAUACCCGUGUAA
rnacentral:rRNA from 1 species